AGCUCCAAUAGCGUAUAUUAAAGUUGUUGCGGUUAAAAGCUCGUAGUUGGAUUUCUGCUGAGGGCGGGCGGUCCGCACUAUGUGCGUGUAUCUGUUACGGCCUUGGCAUCCUCUUGUUGCUUGCGUCAGUGCUUGAUUGCAUUGCGUGACGGCAAGACUUUUACUUUGAGGAAAUUAGAGUGUUCACGGCAGGCAUACGCCUUGAAUAUAUUAGCAUGGAAUAAUGAGAUAGGACCAGGUUCCCAUUUUGUUGGUUUCUAGGAAUCGGGUAAUGGUUAAUAGGGAUAAUUGGGGGCAUUCGUAUUAAGGCGUCAGAGGUGGAAUUCUUGGAUUGCCUUACGACGAGCUACUGCGAAAGCAUCUGCCAAGGAUGUUUUCA
rnacentral:rRNA from 1 species